AUACGUAGGUGGCAAGCGUUGUCCGGAUUUAUUGGGCGUAAAGCGAGCGCAGGCGGUUUCUUAAGUCUGAUGUGAAAGCCCCCGGCUCAACCGGGGAGGGUCAUUGGAAACUGGGAGACUUGAGUGCAGAAGAGGAGAGUGGAAUUCCAUGUGUAGCGGUGAAAUGCGUAGAUAUAUGGAGGAACACCAGUGGCGAAGGCGACUCUCUGUGCUGUAACUGACGCUGAGGCUCGAAAGCGUGGGGAGCAAACAGGAUUAGAUACCCUGGUAGUCCACGCCGUAAACGAGGAGUGCUAAGUGUUGGAGGGUUUCCGCCCUUCAGUGCUUCAGCUAACGCAUUAAGCAAUCCGCCUGGGGAUUACGGCCGCAAGGUUGAAACUCAAAUGAAUUGACGGGG
rnacentral:rRNA from 1 species